GACGAACGCUGGCGGCGGGCUUGAUACAUGCAAGUCGAACGAGAAGCUUAGGGCUUGCCCUAAGUGGAAAGUGGCGCACGGGUGAGUAACACGUAGGCAACCUGCCCCUGAGAGUGGGAUAACCAUUGGAAACGAUGGCUAAUACCGCAUAUUGUCCUUUCACCGCAUGGUGGUUGGAUGAAACACUCCGGUGCUCAGGGAUGGGCCUGCGGCGGAUUAGCUUGUUGGUAGGGUAACGGCCUACCAAGGCUACGAUCUGUAGCUGGUCUGAGAGGAUGAUCAGCCACACUGGCACUGAGACACGGGCCAGACUCCUACGGGAGGCAGCAGUAAGGAAUAUUGCGCAAUGGGCGAAAGCCUGACGCAGCCACGCCGCGUGGAGGAAGACACCCCUAUGGGGCGUAAACUCCUUUUAUAUGGGAAGAAAGUCCCGGUCGCCGGGGCCUGACGGUACCAUAUGAAUAAGCACCGGCUGACUCCGUGCCAGCAGCCGCGGUAAU
rnacentral:rRNA from 1 species